rnacentral:lncRNA from 1 species
CGAGCAGGGAGCUACUUUCCCUGGGGACGCAUGCACAUCCCUAGUGGCCCAGAGCCUGAGUCUAAAGGCUCCCUCUUUGGGAUAAAGACAAAUGGUGACGCCUGCCUGGGGGCUGCAACCCCUCCUGCAUGAAGCUGGGACCCUGAACUACGCCCUCUGGGUGGGUCAGAGAAAAUCCACUCUCUGAGGCGGAGCGGACUCUACCUACCAGCCUCAGCUGGUGGAGAACUGUGGCGCUGGUGGCAGGGAACAAAAUGAACAGUUCCCUCUGAGAAGUCCUGACCACAAGCCGGUCCUCUUGUGGGCUUAGAACGAGGAGGAUUCACACUACAAACGUAAACAUUUCAUUUAAAGUGGUCUGGAUAAGGAGCCUGUUGUAUGCUUGGCAGAAGAAAAUUGUCUCAGCAGGAACGCUGAGCCUCAGUUAAAAAUAACUCCCUUGGGACGCCAUAGCAACAUUGUGAGUCGCUGGGAACUCGCCUAAUCAGACCUCUGCAAACAGGCAGGUCUGCGGACGCCAUAGCAACGGCCUGAGUCGCGCAGAACGCGCCGAAUCAGAACGCGCCGAAUCAGCCCACGCCCCAGCAGCAAUCCACGGGACCCCCCCCCCCCCCACACACACCCUCCACUGUACAGCCAUCUGGUUCCACACUACAAAGACGCAGAGGACACCGGACCACCAGACCACUGUACUGGAUCUCUCCAGAACCCAUCUGUUUCUUUCCAUCUUCACUACCCAAGGCCUAGCUACUUCUACAAGAUGACAGCAGCCCCCAGCAGCCUGUCCUGCCUCGUUCUCACUGUCCAUGUUGGGCCAGGCAGAUAUUCUCCGCAUCAGUGGCUCCUCGGUGCCACUAGGACAAACCCAAAGUCGUCCGGUGUACAACAGUCUUCAGCAUCUGGCCUCUGUUUACCGCCACAUCUAAGCCUGCGUCAUCCCCUCUCAACUUCUAGGUCUUAAAUGUGCUCUAACUGCACCCUGAAUGCUUGACUCAAGCCUUCCAAGACCAUGAACUGCUCGUGAGUGACCAAUGACAUCACCAGUUCCAGGAACAUUCUCCUAUCUCUUGACCAAAGAUUACCGAAGAGACCCAAUUGCUAAACUGCUUCUGCUUCAGCACCCACUUCAAGAUGACCCCCUUCCUCUGGUCUCUCAGACUCUCAAAGAAGCACACACCCUAAGCAAAUCCCCUUCUGCCUCUACUGAGAUGCACCUCUGUCCUCCUGGGGUGCCACCUGUCUUGUAACUGGCCACAGCUACACUCCUGGUGAUCCUUUUCUAGUGGGUUUUAUCAGAAUGACUGAAGUGUUUCUUCACCUAUGAGGCCAAUUUGUAGACAGAUGAUAUACAGUCAUGUCAUGCAACACAUAAUGAUGCCUUUGUCAGUGACAGAUCACAUAUACAAUGGUGGUAUAGUAAGGUCACACCAAUAUUGCCUAGAAAUAUUAGUGUCUUAAUUUGUUUGACAUUUCCAACAACAAAAC